UGGGGACAGUGUGGUGCUCUGGAAUCCCUGGAGACCAGGAGCAUGAAUGCAGGCAACUCCGAGCUGCCUAGGGGAGCAAGGACAUAAUUUGCCCUCAGAGUGUUAUUAUGGAAGUUUGUGUUCACUGAGCUUUUUAUACCCGCCUCACAAGAAGAAAGACCAAAGGGAAAAACUCAGCAUGGAGAGUGAGAAAGAACAACGUGAAGAAAGAAGAAAAACACCCGAGCAGGCUCAGAGGGACCAGAGACUGUACGAGAGCACCGUCACGUCAGACAACAUUGCACUGCUGCGUGGUCAGAGGUGCCGUGUGGCCCUGUGAAAAAACCUUUACCAAGCAAUCAAAAUACAUUUUCAUGCAUUCCAUCUGCUUUGCGGAGUCUAAGCAGGGAUCGGUUUUAAAAAGCAAAUUUUGGAAUAAAAUAGUCUUUGCCUUUAAACCUUCA
rnacentral:lncRNA from 1 species